AAGGAACACAAACGGUUAAGGAUGGAUUGAGAAGAUAAAGGAUCAAAGCUUUCCAGAAAGAGAUCUUUCAAACAUACCUCCUCUUGACAAUUGGACAACAAUUGUAGAUUGGAGAUCCAGGAACAUCGUUUUGCGGAUCAAAGUUAUUAGGGUUCUUUGAAUCAGCUUUGCGGAUAAAAGAUAGUUGGGUUCGUUUUUGGUCUCAUAAAGCAUCUGACUCAUACUUUAUCACAGAUCGACACUACAAUGACAAAGGAGAUAAAUCUAUACUAUUACAAAGAGUCUAAUUUGAGAGAAUUCUAGCUACCGUCCAUAGAUUGACCUAUGGUUCAGUGACAAAAUACGACACUAAUAUUCCCUUUCUAUGUCAGGAGUUGGCAUGGUGUGCUAAAGGAUGAAGAUCAGUGUAUUUUUUACACAUAAUACUCUGCAUUCAGUAAUCCAGUAUGGUGGAAAGCGUUUCCAGAGUUCACCUUUUUUUAAUGAUGAAGAUAAGUUAUUGUUUUGUUCAAGUAUCUUAAACAC